AGAGUUUGAUCGUGGCUCAGGAUGAACGCUAGAGGCGCGCCUAAUGCAUGCAAGUCGAGCGAUGAGGUUCUUUCGGGAGCGAUCAGCGGCAGACGGGUGAGUAACACGUGGGUGACCUACCCUCCAGACGGGGAUAACGGAUGGAAACAUGCGCUAAUACCCGAUGAACUUGUACGGUCGAAGGUACAAGGAAAGCUUCGGUGCUGGGGGAGGGGCCUGCGGCCCAUCAGCUAGUUGGUAGGGUAAGAGCCUACCAAGGCGAAGACGGGUAGGGGGUGUGAGAGCACGGCCCCCCACAAUGGGACUGAGACACGGCCCAUACUCCUACGGGAGGCAGCAGCAGGGAAUAUUGCCCAAUGGACGGAAGUCUGAGGCAGCGACGCCGCGUGGAUGAGGAAGGCCUUCGGGUUGUAAAAUCCUUUUCUGGGGGAAGAGGAAGGACGGUACCCUGGGAAUAAGCGUCGGCUAACUACGUGCCAGCAGCCGCGGUAAGACGUAGGACGCAAGCGUUAUCCGGAUUUACUGGGCGUAAAGCGUCUGUAGGCGGUGCGCUAAGUUGGACGUGAAACUCCGUGCUCAACGCGGAGAGGCCGUUCAAUACUGGCGGACUAGAGGGUGACAGAGGGGCGUGGAAUUUCCGGUGUAGCGGUAAAAUGCGCAGAUAUCGGAAGGAACACCAGUGGCGAAGGCGGCGCCCUGGGUCACAACUGACGCUGAGAGACGAAAGCUAGGGGAGCGAACAGGAUUAGAGACCCUGGUAGUCCUAGCCCUAAACGAUGGAUGCUAGGUGUGGGGCCGAACUGGCUCUGUGCCACAGCUAACGCGUUAAGCAUCCCGCCUGGGGAGUACGGCCGCAAGGUUAAAACUCAAACGAAUUGACGGGGACCCGCACAAGCAGCGGAGCGUGUGGUUUAAUUCGAUACUACACGAAGAACCUUACCUGGGUUUGACAUGGAGGUGGUAGCGAAGCGAAAGCAGAGCGACCCUUCGGGGAGCCUUCACAGGUGCUGCAUGGCUGUCGUCAGCUCGUGCCGUGAGGUGUCGGGUUAAGUCCCGUAACGAGCGCAACCCUUGCCCUUAGUUACAAGUGUCUAGGGGGACUGCCGGCGGGAAGCCGGAGGAAGGUGGGGAUGACGUCAAGUCAGCAUGGCCCUUAUGUCCAGGGCUACACACACGCUACAAUGGGCGGUACAAUGGGCAGCCAAGCCGCGAGGCGGAGCGAAUCCCAACAAAGCCGUUCAUAGUUCGGAUAGCAGGCUGCAACUCGCCUGCCUGGAGCUGGAGUUGCUAGUAACCGCGCGUCAGCUAUAGUGCGGUGAAUACGUUCCCGGGUCUUGUACACACCGCCCGUCACGUCAUGGGAGUCGGUAACGCCUGAAGCCAGUAGCCUAGCGCUAACGCGGGGGCGCUGUCGAGGGCGGGACUGGCAACUGGGACGAAGUCGUAACAAGGUA
rnacentral:rRNA from 1 species